CCUACGGGGGGCAGCAGUAGGGAAUAUUGCUCAAUGGGGGAAACCCUGAAGCAGCAACGCCGCGUGGGGGAUGAAGGGUUUCGGAUUGUAAACUCCUUUUGUUAGAGAAGAGAAUGACGGUAUCUAACGAAUAAGCACCGGCUAACGCCGUGCCAGCAGCCGCGGUAAUACGGAGGGUGCAAGCGUUACUCGGAAUCACUGGGCGUAAAGAGCGAGGAGGCGGGAUCGCAAGUCAGCUGUGAAAUCCUAUGGCUUAACCCUAGAACUGCAUUUGAAACUGUUAUUCUAGAGUAUGGGAGAGGUAGGUGGAAUUCUUGGUGUAGCGGUCAAAUCCGUAGAUAUCAAGAGGAAUACUCAUUGCGAAGGCGACCUGCUAGACCAUAACUGACGCUGAUGCGCGAACGCGUGGGGAGCAAACAGGAUUAGAUACCCCUGUAGUC
rnacentral:rRNA from 1 species